rnacentral:rRNA from 1 species
AUUGAACGCUGGCGGCAUGCUUUACACAUGCAAGUCGAACGGUAACAGGGAGCUUGCUCCGCUGACGAGUGGCGAACGGGUGAGUAAUGCGUCGGAACGUGCCGAGUAGUGGGGGAUAACGCAUCGAAAGGUGUGCUAAUACCGCAUACGUACUGAGGUAGAAAGUGGGGGACCUUCGGGCCUCACGCUAUUCGAGCGGCAGACGUCUGAUUAGCUAGUUGGUGAGGUAAAGGCUCACCAAGGCGACGAUCAGUAGCGGGUCUGAGAGGAUGAUCCGCCACACUGGGACUGAGACACGGCCCAGACUCCUACGGGAGGCAGCAGUGGGGAAUUUUGGACAAUGGGCGCAAGCCUGAUCCAGCAAUGCCGCGUGUGUGAAGAAGGCCUUCGGGUUGUAAAGCACUUUUGUCCGGAAAGAAAUGGCUCUGGUUAAUACCUGGGGUCGAUGACGGUACCGGAAGAAUAAGGACCGGCUAACUACGUGCCAGCCGCCGCAGUAACAC